GGAUGCGCGACUCUCACGCGUCCCCUGAUGUUGUUUUCCCCGCAUGGCUCGCGUCUCCUGUAAUCUGGCUUCGGCGCGUGGCUUUACGGCGGCGAAGGUCGGUGAG
rnacentral:lncRNA from 1 species